AUUGAACGCUGGCGGCAGGCCUAACACAUGCAAGUCGAACGGUAGCACAGAGAGCUUGCUCUCGGGUGACGAGUGGCGGACGGGUGAGUAAUGUCUGGGAAACUGCCCGAUGGAGGGGGAUAACUACUGGAAACGGUAGCUAAUACCGCAUAACGUCGCAAGACCAAAGAGGGGGACCUUCGGGCCUCUUGCCAUCAGAUGUGCCCAGAUGGGAUUAGCUAGUAGGUGGGGUAACGGCUCACCUAGGCGACGAUCCCUAGCUGGUCUGAGAGGAUGACCAGCCACACUGGAACUGAGACACGGUCCAGACUCCUACGGGAGGCAGCAGUGGGGAAUAUUGCACAAUGGGCGAAAGCCUGAUGCAGCCAUGCCGCGUGUAUGAAGAAGGCCUUCGGGUUGUAAAGUACUUUCAGCGGGGAGGAAGGCGUUGAGGUUAAUAACCUCAGCGAUUGACGUUACCCGCAGAAGAAGCACCGGCUAACUCCGUGCCAGCCGCCGCAGUAA
rnacentral:rRNA from 1 species